rnacentral:SRP_RNA from 1 species
GCCCUUUCUUAGACCUGUGCAACGUCUCUUCUAGGCACCGCUUCAGGGUGGGAACACAGCAGAGCACUUAGGCUAGGCGUGUGCCGCAGUCAUCUGAGAGAGGGUUUUU